AGACGGAGGGCGCAAGCGUUGUUCGGAAUUACUGGGCGUAAAGGGCAGGUAGGUGGUCUGUUAAGUCUUCUGUGAAAAUCCGGGGCUCAACCCCACGAAAUGCAGGGGAAACUGGUGGACUGGAGACUGGUAGAGGCUAGCGGAAUUCCUGGUGUAGCGGUGGAAUGCGUAGAUAUCAGGAAGAACACCUGUGGCGAAGGCGGCUAGCUGGGCCAGUUCUGACGCUGAACUGCGAAAGCGUGGGGAGCAAACAGGAUUAGAUACCCCAGUAGUCC
rnacentral:rRNA from 1 species